UUCGGAGCUGUGCGGCAGGCUGAGCAGGAAUGGCAAUGUGGACCUCUGUGAUGGGACAACUGGUGGGAUCUCACAUCCAGGUAACUCAGUGGGGGGUAUGUGGAAAACAUAAUGACCAUAAAGCCCAUGAUGGUAUGAGAGUAGUGGACAGAAGGGAUUUCUGAAAAAACACUUUUCUGAGGCUUUUAAUUCAGUUACUGGAAAGGGUUAAAUUCAGUGAAGAAGGGAACUGACUGUUCACAUCUCUUAUUUCCAGUUCUGUGUCAAAGGAGGAUGAAGACUAAGGACUCAUGAGGAAGCUGGAUUACUGGACGAGAGCAAUGUAAGCAAUUUUUUUGUAUGCAUGUGGUCCCACUACAAGAGGCCCCUCAACCCACACAUCAAUGUAGAGUUCCAUGAAAGCAAUUGUAGAGAAGAGUGGGUGGGAGAUCUGAAGCCAGACAGGGCAUUGUGUGUCUAGGUAUCUGAAGAGGCUGGUUCUUGAUAACUCUGGGAGCUAGUGUGAUUGAACACAGGAUUUAUAAUUGUGCUAUUUAGACCAGAUUUGGUGGGCACUUUCCCUAUCUUAAGUGCUGAGUCAGGUCUAACAGGGCAGUUUUAACUAUUUGUUUGAUCUUGUAGGUUCUAGAAGGGAAGACCAGAAAAUGAGAUGGUGGAGUUUAAUAAGGCUGGACAGACAGUUUUGAAAACACAAAUGGUUUGAAUAAAGAAAGGUAUUACACAUGGAUCCCCUCAGUUGAAGGCACUGUGCACACAUAACGGUAAGUGUCUUUGAA
ensembl:processed_transcript